rnacentral:rRNA from 1 species
CCUACGGGUGGCUGCAGUGGGGAAUAUUGCACAAUGGGCGAAAGCCUGAUGCAGCAACGCCGCGUGAGCGAUGAAGGCCUUCGGGUCGUAAAGCUCUGUCCUCAAGGAAGAUAAUGACGGUACUUGAGGAGGAAGCCCCGGCUAACUACGUGCCAGCAGCCGCGGUAAUACGUAGGGGGCUAGCGUUAUCCGGAAUUACUGGGCGUAAAGGGUGCGUAGGUGGUUUCUUAAGUCAGAGGUGAAAGGCUACGGCUCAACCGUAGUAAGCCUUUGAAACUGGGAAACUUGAGUGCAGGAGAGGAGAGUGGAAUUCCUAGUGUAGCGGUGAAAUGCGUAGAUAUUAGGAGGAACACCAGUUGCGAAGGCGGCUCUCUGGACUGUAACUGACACUGAGGCACGA